rnacentral:misc_RNA from 1 species
UAGAUGCUCCAUCUAUAAAUGGAUAAGAUCCCAGUCUUAUUGUAUAGGAGUUAUUGAAAAAUAAAGGAGCAAUAAUUUCCUUCUUCUAUAUAAGAGGGCGUUAUUGCUCCUUUAUUUUCUUUUUAUUUAUUCUAAUAUUUUUUUUAGUACCUGUACUAUAAUAUAGAUACUAUAGAUGUUUUUUUUAAAGAAAAGCAAAGAAAAUGUUCGAAACGAAAUAUUUGAAAUGAAAGAUUCAGUAAAUUAUUAAAUAAAUAGAAUAUGAAAUAUAAAAAAGUUAAAGUAGGGGGCGGAUGUAGCCAAGUGGAUCARGGCAGU